rnacentral:tRNA from 1 species
AGGUAGUUAUUUUAAAUAAAAUAUUUGAUUUCGGCUCAAAAGCUUAUGGUUAAAGUCCAUAACUACCUA